rnacentral:lncRNA from 1 species
GGUGGUGGAGAUGAGAGAGGAAUGAUGUGCAAGACAUUUCAGAGAUGAAACAAAGGGACUUGAUGAAUUACUGGUACAAGCAAGAGAGAUGAGUCAGAGAUGACUUGGAGGUUGCCAGCUUCGAUGAAACUUCUGAAGUGAUUCUGAUUUGCAUCAAAGUUUGAUAAACUUUGCUCUAAAGAGUUUUCUGAUGUCUAAGAGAAGGGGUUUGGAGACACUAUGGAAUGAUUUGAAGUCUGGAUCUUCUCAAUGAUGGAUCUUUGAGAUGAUCUCAAAGUCUGGAUCUUCUCAAUGAUGAUGAUGACUGUUGAUGACCUUGGUAAUAAUAAGAAUUAUUGUUUAUCCUGAAGCUGCGAAUAGGGAUUAAUGAUGAAGACAAAAGACGUUCUGUAGUUCUAGUUCCAAAGGGGCUGAGUUCAAGAUGGGUUUGCAACAUUGAACUUACAGUCAGAAAGAACACCCUUUAUAUCCUUGGUUUGCCACUGUCCUGCUGUGUUACUUAAGACAAGUUAGUUCACUUAACCUAUCUCAGCCUUCGUUUUCUUAUUUGUAACGUAAGUGUAUCAAUCAGCAUGGGCUGAUGCUGCGGUAACAAACAAGCCCCAAAUCUCAGUUGCUUAUCACAUCAAAGUUUUAUUUCUAAUUUAUUUUUCAUGUCCAUCCUGGGGCCACGAAAAGCUGCACUACAUGUUGUCUUUAUUCUAAGGACUCAGACUGACAAAAUAGUUGCCAUCAGAAAUGUUGCCAAUUUCUGUGGCAGUGGGACAGGGGGAGUGGGGGAAAAUGAAGGUACAUGGGCUCUUAGAGUUUCCACCUGGAGGUAACCACAUGAUCCUGCUCACAUUUCACUGGUCAGAGCAGGUCAUGUGGUCACCUCUAAGGAUGCAGGGAAGUGCAGUUUUACCAUGUGCCCAGAAAGCGGGGAGAACUGGAAAUAUUUGGUGGAUAGCACUCCUGGCUACCACAAUGAGCACUGUUAUAUCAACUUCCUUGUGGGGUUAUUGUAAGGAUUAAAGGAGAUAAUGGAUGAAGAAUCACUUUGCAAAUAAUAGAUAUUGCUCACAGUAAGAUAUUGCACACGUGACAUUUGGGGGGCAGUCAUGUGCCAAUCACUACGCCAGAUAUUCAUAACAGCAGUGCAUCCCCAGACAGAGUUCAGGAAGGGCAUAGCUUGCCUAGUUUUGCUCCCUCUUGGCACUGGAACCUUGACUGUAAUUGUCAGGUAGGGUCCACUAGCCCAGGUAUGUGCAGGUACCAAGAGUUCUUCUAUUGGAGACUUUUGAUGCUGCCCAAAGUAUUUCUUGGGAAGGGCUCACCCUUGUGACUGUUGACUACUGAUCUCCACAAGCAGAGAGAGCAUCAGUGGUCCUGAUGUCCGUCUGUCUCUGCACCUCCUUACUAAGGGGCAGGUAAGUCUUUUAGUUCAGUGGAUUUGAGACAGUUGUGGUCUGAUUUGGAUUUUAUUCCAAAU